UCAGUGUAUAAUGUACUAAUUGUGUUACACUAUUAUUAUGGCAUAUUUUUCUAAAUGCCUCACAUUUUAUGCAGCAUUAGGACCAUCCACGGCAAGUUGAAUGACAUGCCUCUAUAUGGAUUUGAGGCAAACGAACUGAUUCUACCUUGCUGUCAUAUCAUUGCGUGUCACAGGCCGAUCGUUUCAUAAAUACGAUGCUUAUCACGGAUUUAGUGAUAACUGGAAAUUGAUGGUGUGAUUAUUCAACGGGUGGGGGAGAAGAAGGGACUGCCAGUUUCUUAAUCAACCGGAGCGGCACACUUUCCACCAGCACAACCUGGGGAGAGACGCCCGCGUUGAUCUACGACAAGCUUGCCUAAUGCCAAGGUUAUUUAGGAUGAAACAGUUGGCUCCUAAAAUGGUAAGCAACUUGUUAAUGCAGUUUAGCAGUGGCUUAAUUUCCGAAGGAUGCUAGAGAACACUUGGUUCGAUACUACAUCAUGGACAAGAUGAAGGAUAUAGUGCUGUUGAAGGUUUCUUUAUGGUGAUGAAGCUUGAUUUUUGUAAUGAUGAGACCUGUUCAGAACUAGGCAUUCAAAUGAUUGUACUGUGCUAUGCGAGGUGGUGACCACAAAUACGCCCGACCACUGGUUGCUACGGCCAUCUUUAUGGAUAACUGCGAAAAAGGAUUGUCCAUAAGAUUGGAGGUUGCUAGCGCGGAAGUUGGUUAUUAUUCGAUCUCGUUUUGGCCGGUUAUGGAGAUACAGACAAGGAAAGUGGCUUUCGCUGGCGUGUGGUAUGAUCCCCCAUCU